UACAGAGGGGGCAAGCGUUGUUCGGAAUUACUGGGCGUAAAGGGCGCGUAGGCGCCUUCUAAGUCGAACGUGAAAUCCCCGGGCUCAACCCGGGGAACUGCGUCCGAUACUGGAAGGCUUGAAUUCGGGAGAGGGAUGCGGAAUUCCAGGUGUAGCGGUGAAAUGCGUAGAUAUCUGGAGGAACACCGGUGGCGAAGGCGGCAUCCUGGACCGGCAUUGACGCUGAGGCGCGAAAGCCAGGGGAGCAAAGCGGGG
rnacentral:rRNA from 1 species